AACGAACGCUGGCGGCAGGCCUAACACAUGCAAGUCGAGCGAGAAGGUUCUUUCGGGAACUGGAGAGCGGCGGACGGGUUAGUAACGCGUGGGAACAUGCCCUAAAGUCUGGGAUAACUAUUGGAAACGAUAGCUAAUACCGGAUGGUCCCUUCGGGGUAAAGCUUUAGCGCUUUAGGAUUGGCCCGCGUUAGAUUAGCUAGUUGGUAAGGUAACGGCUUACCAAGGCGACGAUCUAUAGCUGGUUUGAGAGGAUGAUCAGCAACACUGGAACUGAGACACGGUCCAG
rnacentral:rRNA from 1 species